rnacentral:lncRNA from 1 species
CUGUCAGCAGCAGCAGUGAUAGUGCAACAGCAAUGGCAGUACUAACCAUGGUAACUGCGUUGGCAGAGAUUCCAGCCUUGGUUGAGGCAUCACAUCUUCAGCAGGUCUACAAUUACAGUGACACCCUCCCUGAAAGCCCAGCAGUGGAUAUAGACUUGUUGACUUCAGUUUAGCAGUGAUGCAGCUUCUGAUCUCUGCCUGACUGGCUCAUGGAGAAAGCCUACCUAAGAAUGAAGCCGGGACCCGGCAGAAUGGCUCCUGUGAAGAAGGGUGGCAAGAAGAAAAAGGGCCGUUCUGCCAUCAAUGAGGUGGUGACCCGAGAAUACACCAUCAACAUUCACAAGUGCAUCCAUGGAGUGGGCUUCAAGAAGCAUGCCCCUUGAGCACUCAAAGAGAUUCGGAAAUUUGUCAGGAAGGAGAUGGGAACUCUAGAUGUGCACAACUGAUACCAGGCUCAACAAGGCUGUCUGGGCCAAAGGAAUAAGGAAUGUCCCAUGCCGAAUCCAUGUGCAGUUGUCCAGAGAAUAUAAUGAGGAUGAAGAUUCACCAAAUAAGCUCUGUACUUCGGUUACCUAUGUACCUGUUACCACUUUCAAAAAUCUAUAGACAGUCAUUGUGGAUGAGAACUAAUCACUGAUUGUCAACUAUAUCAAACAAAGUUAUAAAACUGCAAAAAAAAAAAAAAAA